GUGCCAGCCGCCGCGGUAAUACGAAGGGACCUAGCGUAGUUCGGAAUUACUGGGCUUAAAGAGUUCGUAGAUGGUUGAAAAAGUUAGUGGUGAAAUCCCAGAGCUUAACUCUGGAACUGCCAUUAAAACUUUUCAGCUAGAGUAUGAUAGAGGAAAGCAGAAUUUCUAGUGUAGAGGUGAAAUUCGUAGAUAUUAGAAAGAAUACCAAUUGCGAAGGCAGCUUUCUGGAUCAUUACUGACACUGAGGAACGAAAGCAUGGGUAGCGAAGAGGAUUAGAUACCCUCGUAGUCCAUGCCGUAAACGAUGUGUGUUAGACGUUGGAAAUUUAUUUUCAGUGUCGCAGCGAAAGCGAUAAACACACCGCCUGGGGAGUACGACCGCAAGGUUAAAACUCAAAGGAAUUGGCGG
rnacentral:rRNA from 1 species